rnacentral:rRNA from 1 species
AUUGAACGCUGGCGGCAUGCCUUACACAUGCAAGUCGAACGGCAGCACGGGAGCAAUCCUGGUGGCGAGUGGCGAACGGGUGAGUAAUAUAUCGGAACGUGCCCAGUAGUGGGGGAUAACUGCUCGAAAGAGCAGCUAAUACCGCGUACGACCUGAGGGUGAAAGGGGGGGAUCGCAAGACCUCUCGCUAUUGGAGCGGCCGAUAUCAGAUUAGCUAGUUGGUGGGGUAAAGGCCUACCAAGGCAACGAUCUGUAGUUGGUCUGAGAGGACGACCAGCCACACUGGGACUGAGACACGGCCCAGACUCCUACGGGAGGCAGCAGUGGGGAAUUUUGGACAAUGGGCGCAAGCCUGAUCCAGCAAUGCCGCGUGCAGGAAGAAGGCC